UACGGAGGGGGCUAGCGUUGUUCGGAAUUACUGGGCGUAAAGCGUACGUAGGCGGCUUUGUAAGUUAGAGGUGAAAGCCCGGGGCUCAACCUCCGGAAUUGCCUUUAAGACUGCAUCGCUUGAAUCAUGGAGAGGUGAGUGGAAAUUCCGAGUGUAGAGGUGAAAUUCGAUAGAUAUUCGGAAGAACACCAGUGGACGCA
rnacentral:rRNA from 1 species